CUGUCUCCUUUUUCUAUCAGUGAAACUAAUCUCCCCGUGAAGAAGCGGGGAUACUAAUAUAAGACGAGAAGACCCCAUGGAGCUUCAAACCCAACUACACCCCCAACCCCUAUAACUACUAAAUCCUUGAGGCCCUGUAUCGUUGGUUUUAGGUUGGGGCGACCACGGAGUACAACAAAACCUCCACAAUGAACGGAAUUAAUUCCUAAUCUAAGAACUACAUCUCUAAGAAUUAAAAUACUAACAUAAAAUGAUCCAUUUUUUGAUUAAUGAACCAAGUUACCCUGGGGAUAACAGCGCAAUCCAUUUCAAGAGCCCCUAUCGACAAAUGGG
rnacentral:rRNA from 1 species